GACGGAGAACCCACAGAAGCCAACGAAAGGCCGUGCUCGUCGAGCUCAUCACUGAGCAAUGAUUCGUUUGUUCCAGCACCACAAGGACCUCAGAAGUAGGCGAUUUUUUUUUGGUUUUUCGGCUGAAAAUUGGCCUAAAUUUUUGAAGCUGAAAUUUGACCUAUUUUCUGACAUUUUUCUUUAGAAAAUUCCAAUUUUCACCCAAAAAUAGCUGAAAAUCUCUGGAAAUUAUUAUUUUGAAAAAAAAUUCCCCAAUUUUCAGCGGACACACGAGCAGCAGCCAUGACAAUGAUUAUAGUGAAUACCGCCCACGCCGUGGGCCUAAAACUCCGCCUCUUCCACCGCCGGAUGAGCCUGUAAAACAGCAGCAACAGCAGCAGCCAAUUGUUGCUCCAUAUUCCUAUUAUCCAACG
rnacentral:sRNA from 1 species